rnacentral:rRNA from 1 species
UACAGAGGGUGCAAGCGUUAAUCGGAAUUACUGGGCGUAAAGCGUGCGUAGCCGGUUAUGUAAGUCAGGUGUGAAAGCCCCGGGCUCAACCUGGGAAUGGCAUUUGAGACUGCAUAGCUAGGGUGCGGAAGAGGGAAGCGGAAUUUCCGGUGUAGCGGUGAAAUGCGUAGAUAUCGGAAGGAACAUCAGUGGCGAAAGCGGCUUCCUGGUCCAGCACCGACGUUCAGGCACGAAAGCGUGGGGAGCAAACAGG